GCCACAACUGGCACCCAACGUGGGGCCCUCAGCACUCACCUCGCCCGGCAAGGGUUUCAGACGCGUCACUCAUCCGCUUCGCGGAUCCCGGUGAGUAUUUUUCAUUGUGGGCUGGUGGACACUGGAGCUGACGUUACGGUGAUUCGUGAUCCGGAGUGGCCGUCAUACCCCUCUGCCUGGGCUACUUACUGAAGGCAAUGCGCGCGCUGAUCGCGCGUUACAUGGUCAGGUAAAUUCCCUCUUCUCUGACCCCAUUGAAAGCCAUUCCUUUUUUCAUCAGUCUGCCUCUGUUUUGGCCCGACAGUUUCACAUUCCUGCUGAUCAUGCAUGUUCUAUUGUUCGUUCCUGCCCCAACUGUGCUGCUGCUGCCCCUACCUUUUUUUUAUGCCGUUAACCCCAGAGGUACCGCAGCGAAUCAGCUGUGGCAAAUGGCUGUCACUCAUGUGCCACAAUUCCGCCCCUAUUCGUUUUUACAUGUUUCCAUUGAUACCUAUUCGGGAUUCCUCUGGGCAACCCCACAGCGUGGGGAAGCCACUCCUAAAGUUAUUCACC